AUGGCGAGUCAAGGCGUGGAGGAGCGGGCCAAGGUGUCUUCUUGUUUUGACAUGGUUAUGUCUGAGGUGGAGCCUGUUGAGCAGUCGACAUUGGAGGAGCCGAAGGUUUCCAGUGCUCCUUGCACCGGGAAGCCUUCAAAGGAGCUGAUCCAGAUGGAUGCAGAUGAGCCUCUUGGGAGAGCCUCCUCUNNNNGGGGGGGGUUCCUCGAAGAGCUUGCUCUCAUUGUGUCGAGCUCGCCGCAAGUUUUGCAGGUGGGAGAGGCUGCCCCUUCUCUCUUAGAGCGACGAAGCUGCCGUUUGGACAAGAAAAACAAAGAUUGCGACAUUCCUGUAGCCAAGCGCGCGGAGUAUAGGCGGGCGGAGGCCUUUGGAGAGGUUCCAACACUGAAGAGCAAAGGAAAAGCAUCCGAGGAAGACCUGAAUGAGAAGAUGCAACACUAUCUGCAGAUGUACAAGAAGGAACACACGCCCAAGGCGAUCGAGGCGGUGCGCGCAUUAGUUCAGGCCAAUGCUUGA
rnacentral:rRNA from 1 species